CCUACGGGAGGCUGCAGUAGGGAAUCUUCCACAAUGGGCGAAAGCCUGAUGGAGCAACGCCGCGUGUGUGAAGAAGGUCUUCGGAUCGUAAAACCCUGUUGUUAGAGAAGAAAGUGCGUGAUAGUAACUGUUCACGUUUCGACGGUAUUUAACCAGAAAGCCACGGCUAACUACGUGCCAGCAGCCGCGGUAAUACGUAGGUGGCAAGCGUUAUCCGGAUUUAUUGUGCGUAAAGGGAACGCAGGCGGUCUUUUAAGUCUGAUGUGAAAGCCUUCGGCUUAACCGGAGUAGUGCAUUGGAAACUGGGAGACGUGAGUGCAGAAGAGGAGAGGGGAACGCCAUGUGUAGCGGUGAAAUGCGGAGAUAUAUGGAAGAACAACAGUGGCGAAGGCGGCUCUCUGGUCUGUAACUGACGCUGAGGUUCGAAAGCGUGGGUAGCGAACAGGAUUAGAUACCCGUGUAGUC
rnacentral:rRNA from 1 species